AAAUUGAAGAGUUUGAUCAUGGCUCAGAUUGAACGCUGGCGGCAGGCCUAACACAUGCAAGUCGAACGGUAACAGGAAACAGCUUGCUGUUUCGCUGACGAGUGGCGGACGGGUGAGUAAUGUCUGGGAAACUGCCUGAUGGAGGGGGAUAACUACUGGAAACGGUAGCUAAUACCGCAUAAUGUCGCAAGACCAAAGAGGGGGACCUUCGGGCCUCUUGCCAUCGGAUGUGCCCAGAUGGGAUUAGCUAGUAGGUGGGGUAACGGCUCACCUAGGCGACGAUCCCUAGCUGGUCUGAGAGGAUGACCAGCCACACUGGAACUGAGACACGGUCCAGACUCCUACGGGAGGCAGCAGUGGGGAAUAUUGCACAAUGGGCGCAAGCCUGAUGCAGCCAUGCCGCGUGUAUGAAGAAGGCCUUCGGGUUGUAAAGUACUUUCAGCGGGGAGGAAGGGAGUAAAGUUAAUACCUUUGCUCAUUGACGUUACCCGCAGAAGAAGCACCGGCUAACUCCGUGCCAGCAGCCGCGGUAAUACGGAGGGUGCAAGCGUUAAUCGGAAUUACUGGGCGUAAAGCGCACGCAGGCGGUUUGUUAAGUCAGAUGUGAAAUCCCCGGGCUCAACCUGGGAACUGCAUCUGAUACUGGCAAGCUUGAGUCUCGUAGAGGGGGGUAGAAUUCCAGGUGUAGCGGUGAAAUGCGUAGAGAUCUGGAGGAAUA
rnacentral:rRNA from 1 species